GUGGUAGUGUUAAGGGGCUAACAAAGGUCUGUCACAGCAGCAAAGUAAGUGCCGCCCGUGUUUAAUGUUAUGCUCCAGGCGGCAUUUAAUUUUCCACUGGCCAUUGCUUGUAACCCGAAUUUUAACUUACAACUCGAAGCAGGAGAGACAGCUCAUAUCUCAAAACACUUGUAAGUCGAGAUACCACUGUAUAUGUAUAAAAUUUUUAAAGUAUAGUAGGUACCCGAUUUAUGUGGCUUCAGAGAUAUGCAGAGGCAUAAUUCUUUUCGUUUUUGUUGAAUUUCCAUAAAACUUGAAGUUAAGCAUUAAACAAUUAAAGCAUGGAUGUAAAAUUCAAUAAACAAUUUAAUUUUUUACAAAAAUAUCAUUUAUAGCCUUAAAUUUUCUUAGCUGUGCUUAAAGUAUGCUCAUAAAUUUCAUUGUGAAGAUUUGCUGGUUGCUGAUCUCACUGAAAAACA
rnacentral:lncRNA from 1 species